AGAAAUUUAGGUUAAAUUAAACCAUGAGCCUUCAAAGCUCAAAAUAGCGGCUAGCCCCCCCUAACUUCUG
rnacentral:tRNA from 1 species